rnacentral:rRNA from 1 species
UGGGGAAUAUUGCACAAUGGGGGAAACCCUGAUGCAGCGACGCCGCGUGAGCGAUGAAGUAUUUCGGUAUGUAAAGCUCUAUCAGCAGGGAAGAAAAUGACGGUACCUGACUAAGAAGCCCCGGCUAACUACGUGCCAGCAGCCGCGGUAAUACGUAGGGGGCAAGCGUUAUCCGGAUUUACUGGGUGUAAAGGGAGCGUAGACGGCUGUGCAAGCCAGAUGUGAAAGCCCGGGGCUCAACCCCGGGACUGCAUUUGGAACUGUGUAGCUGGAGUGUCGGAGAGGCAGGCGGAAUUCCUAGUG